GGUGGCUCAGUGGUAGAGCACCUGCCUUGCAUGCAUGAGGCCCUGGGUUCAAUUCCUCAGCACCA
rnacentral:tRNA from 1 species